GAUGAACGCUGGCGGCGUGCCUAAUACAUGCAAGUCGAGCGAACGGACGAGAAGCUUGCUUCUCUGAUGUUAGCGGCGGACGGGUGAGUAACACGUGGAUAACCUACCUAUAAGACUGGGAUAACUUCGGGAAACCGGAUCUAAUACCGGAUGAUAUUUUGAACCGCAUGGUUCAAAAGUGAAAGACGGUCUUGCUGUCACUUAUAGAUGGAUCCGCGCUGCAUUAGCCAGUUGGUAAGGUAACGGCUUACCAAGGCAACGAUGCAUAGCCGACCUGAGAGGGUGAUCGGCCACACUGGAACUGAGACACGGUCCAGACUCCUACGGGAGGCAGCAGUAGGGAAUCUUCCGCAAUGGGCGAAAGCCUGACGGAGCAACGCCGCGUGAGUGAUGAAGGUCUUCGGAUCGUAAAACUCUGUUAUUAGGGAAGAACAUAUGUGUAAGUAACUGUGCACAUCUUGACGGUACCUAAUCAGAAAGCCACGGCUAACUACGUG
rnacentral:rRNA from 1 species